AUGCCUUUGAAAUUCUGGGAUGAGGCCUUCAUUGCUGCAACUUAUUUGAUAAACCGAGUUCCUAGCAAAGUCCUCAAGUUUGAAACACCCUUUGAAAAACUAUUCCAUGAAAAACCCAACUAUUCCAUCCUCAGGGUUUUUGGGUGCGCCUGUUGGCCGAACCUUAGGCCCUACAACAAUCACAAACUUCAAUUUCAUUCUAAGCAAUGUGCUUUCCUUGGGUAUAGCAAUCUCCACAAAGGGUUUAAGUGCCUUGACAUAUCUACUGGACGUGUUUAUAUUUCCAGAGAUGUAAUCUUUGAUGAAAAUAUUUUUCCUUUUGCUAGUCUCCACCCAAAUGCCGGUGCUCGCCUUCGUGCUGAAAUUUUGUUACUCUCUCCGGAGCUGUUAAACCCUUCUGAUCACGGGGGUGAAUCUCAUGCUGAUGAUCAUGUGUUUAAUAAUCCUAAUCCUUCCACUAAUGAGGCCUGUACUGAUGAAAACAGGGAAGAAAACAGUGCUCCACACUAUGAUUUUAUGCAGCAAUAG
rnacentral:rRNA from 1 species